rnacentral:rRNA from 1 species
AGAGUUUGAUCCUGGCUCGAGGAUGAACGCUGGCGGCGUGCAUAACACAUUCAAGUCGAACGGUGAAGUACCUUCGGGUGCGGAUCAGUGGCGGACGGGUGAGUAACGCGUGAGCAACCUGCCCUGGAUUGAGGGAUAACACAGGGAAACUUGUGCUAAUACCUCAUGACGUAUACUUAUCGCAUGUUAGGUAUGCCAAAGAUUUAUUGAUACAGGAUGGGCUCGCGUAUGAUUAGGUAGUUGGUGAGGUAAGGGCCCACCAAGCCUACGAUCAUUAGCCGAACUGAGAGGUUGAACGGCCACAUUGGAACUGAGAAACGGUCCAGACUCC